CGCCAUGCGGCGUCUAUAAUGCAGUCGACGAACUCUGGUAUUGAUUGGUGCUUGCAUCAUGAUUUACAUUUGAGUGAGUGGCGAACUGGUGAGUAACACGUGGGAAACCUGCCCAGAAGCGGGGGAUAACACCUGGAAACAGAUGCUAAUACCGCAUAACAACUUGGACCGCAUGGUCCGAGCUUGAAAGAUGGCUUCGGCUAUCACUUUUGGAUGGUCCCGCGGCGUAUUAGCUAGAUGGUGGGGUAACGGCUCACCAUGGCAAUGAUACGUAGCCGACCUGAGAGGGUAAUCGGCCACAUUGGGACUGAGACACGGCCCAAACUCCUACGGGAGGCAGCAGUAGGGAAUCUUCCACAAUGGACGAAAGUCUGAUGGAGCAACGCCGCGUGAGUGAAGAAGGGUUUCGGCUCGUAAAACUCUGUUGUUAAAGAAGAACAUAUCUGAGAGUAACUGUUCAGGUAUUGACGGUAUUUAACCAGAAAGCCACGGCUAACUACGUGCCAGCAGCCGCGGUAAUACGUAGGUGGCAAGCGUUGUCCGGAUUUAUUGGGCGUAAAGCGAGCGCAGGCGGUUUUUUAAGUCUGAUGUGAAAGCCUUCGGCUCAACCGAAGAAGUGCAUCGGAAACUGGGAAACUUGAGUGCAGAAGAGGACAGUGGAACUCCAUGUGUAGCGGUGAAAUGCGUAGAUAUAUGGAAGAACACCAGUGGCGAAGGCGGCUGUCUGGUCUGUAACUGACGCUGAGGCUCGAAAGUAUGGGUAGCAAACAGGAUUAGAUACCCUGGUAGUCCAUACCGUAAACGAUGAAUGCUAAGUGUUGGAGGGUUUCCGCCCUUCAGUGCUGCAGCUAACGCAUUAAGCAUUCCGCCUGGGGAGUACGGGCCGCAAGGCUGAAACUCAAAGGAAUUGACGGGGGCCCGCACAAGCGGUGGAGCAUGUGGGUUUAAUUCGAAGCUACGCGAAGAACCUUACCAGGUCUUGACAUACUAUGCAAAUCUAAGAGAUUAGACGUUCCCCUUCGGGGACAUGGAUACAGGUGUGCAUGAUGUCGUCAGCUCGUGUCGUGAGAUGUGGGUAGUCCGCACGAGCGCAUCCUUAUAUCAGUGCAGCAUUAGGUGGUCACUCUGUUGAGACUGCCGUGACGAUCGAGCAGGUGGGAAUGACGUCCAAUCAUCAUGCAU
rnacentral:rRNA from 1 species